UACGGAGGGGGCUAGCGUUGUUCGGAAUUACUGGGCGUAAAGCGCGUGUAGGCGGCUUUGCAAGUCGGGUGUGAAAUCCCACGGCUCAACCGUGGAAGUGCAUUCGAAACUGCGAGGCUAGAGUCCUGGAGAGGAAGGUGGAAUGCUUGGUGUAGAGGUGAAAUUCGUAGAUAUCAAGCGGAACACCGGUGGCGAAGGCGGCCUUCUGGACAGUGACUGACGCUGAGACGCGAAAGCGUGGGGAGCAAACAGG
rnacentral:rRNA from 1 species